AUUGAACGCUAGCGGCAUGCCUAACACAUGCAAGUCGAACGGCAGCGUGGGGAGCUUGCUCCCUGACGGCGAGUGGCGGACGGGUGAGUAACGCGUAGGAAUCUGCCUUGUAGUGGGGGACAACCCGGGGAAACUCGGGCUAAUACCGCAUAAUCUCUACGGAGCAAAGUGGGGGAUCUUCGGACCUCACGCUAUAAGAUGAGCCUGCGUUAGAUUAGCUUGUUGGUGGGGUAAUGGCCUACCAAGGCGACGAUCUAUAGCUGGUCUGAGAGGACGAUCAGCCACACUAGGACUGAGACACGGCCCAG
rnacentral:rRNA from 1 species